rfam:Microbotryum lychnidis-dioicae p1A1 Lamole unplaced genomic scaffold supercont1.1, whole genome shotgun sequence.
GGCCGGAUAGCUUAGUAGGUCAAAGCUUUUCCAAUCAGUGGAAGCGACCCAGGUUCGACUCCUGGUCCAGCCG